GAAAAGUAAGCUCUGUUUGUGUUCCCUCAUUUUUAUGUUAUGAAGAAAAUAAUCUUUAUUUCUGCGAAAUAAAAAUCAAGGCCAUAAAAAUUCAACUAUAAAUGUGGAGGCCAUAAUGGGAAAACACCGAACAAAACUAUUCCCGGCCAAUUGCUGCCUUAAUAGUCGGAGAAGUUCCAUCUGUGAGAAAUUGUUGUCAUCUGGUCACAACAAAAGGCAGCCUUUGUCCGGUAAAGGACCACCGAGCUGCUUUCCAGGGCUAAAAAUAAAUAAAUAAUGCGCCUGGACCUGGCCCACCACACACUGCGUAUACGUGAUAAGGCAUU